rnacentral:rRNA from 1 species
UACAGAGGGUGCGAGCGUUAAUCGGAAUUACUGGGCGUAAAGCGCGCGUAGGCGGCUUUGCAAGUCGGGUGUGAAAUCCCCAGGCUUAACCGUGGAAGUGCAUGGGAAACUGCAGAGCUUGAGUACUUAAGAGGAUCGCGGAAUUCCCGGUGUAGAGGUGAAAUGCGUAGAUAUCGGUAGGAACACCAGUGGCGAAGGCGGUCUCCUGGGGCAUUCUUGACGCUGAGGCGCGAAAGCUGGGGGAGCGAACGGG